rnacentral:piRNA from 1 species
UCAACAUAUAGAAUAGUCUACCAUCCCAUG